CGGAUGGCGGCAGCAUUAGGCAUGCAGUCGCACGUGAAGAGGAGCUUGCUCCUUGAGUAAAGUGGCGAACGGGUGAGUAACGCGUGAGAAACCUGCCUUGAAGAGGGGAAUAACACUCCCAACGGGGUGCUAAUACCGCAUGUGCUCGAUGGAUCGCAUGGUUCGUCGAGGAAAGGUGGCCUCUGCUCGCAAGCUAUCGCUUCAAGAGGGUCUCGCGUCCGAUUAGCUAGUUGGCGGGGUAAAAGCCCACCAAGGCUACGAUCGGUAGCUGGUCUGAGAGGAUGGUCAGCCACACUGGGACUGAGAUACGGCCCAGACUCCUACGGGAGGCAGCAGUCGAGAGGCUUCGGCAAUGGGGGCAACCCUGACCGAGCGACGCCGCGUGGAGGAUGAAGGCCCUUGGGUCGUAAACUCCUUUCGUGGGGAAAGAAUGUGUUCGAGGUGAAUAAUCUCGAGCAUUGACGGUACCCCAAGAAGAAGCUCCGGCUAACUCCGUGCCAGCAGCCGCGGUAAUACGGGGGGAGCAAGCGUUGUUCGGAAUCACUGGGCGUAAAGGGAGUCUAGGCGGUUCGGUAAGUGGGAUGUGAAAUGCCCCGGCUCACCCGGGGACCUGCAUCCCAAACUGCUGAGCUUGAGUACAGGAGAGGGUGGGGGAAUUCCAGGUGUAGCGGUGAAAUGCGUAGAUAUCUGGAGGAACACCGGUGGCGAAGGCGCCCACCUGGCCUGCUACUGACGCUGAAGCUCGAAAGCUAGGGGAGCAAACGGGAUUAGAUACCCCGGUAGUCCUAGCCGUAAACAGUGAUCACUAGGUGUUGGGAGCAUCGACCCUUCCAGUGCCGCAGCUAACGCAUUAAGUGAUCCGCCUGGGGAGUACGGCCGCAAGGUUGAAACUCAAAGGAAUUGACAGGGGCCCGCACAAGCGGUGGAGCAUGUGGUUCAAUUCGACGCAACGCGAAGAACCCUUACCCAGACUUGACAUGUACUGGACUGGUGUGAAACACAUCUUCCCCU
rnacentral:rRNA from 1 species